rnacentral:rRNA from 1 species
AGCGAACGCUGGCGGCAGGCCUAAUACAUGCAAGUCGAACGGCCCUUCGGGGCAGUGGCGGACGGGUGAGUAACACGUGGGAACGUGCCCUUUGGUACGGAACAACUGAGGGAAACUUCAGCUAAUACCGUAUGUGCCCUUCGGGGGAAAGAUUUAUCGCCAUUGGAGCGGCCCGCGUUGGAUUAGCUAGUUGGUGGGGUAAAGGCCCACCAAGGCUACGAUCCAUAGCUGGUCUGAGAGGAUGAUCAGCCACACUGGGACUGAGACACGGCCCAGACUCCUACGGGAGGCAGCAGUAGGGAAUCUUGCGCAAUGGGCGAAAGCCUGACGCAGCCAUGCCGCGUGAAUGAUGAAGUUCUUAGGAUUGUAAAAUUCUUUCACCGGGGAAGAUAAUGACGGUACCCGGAGAAGAAGCCCCGGCUAACUUCGUGCCAGCCGCCGCGGUAA